rnacentral:tRNA from 1 species
GGGGUUGUGGCUUAGUGGUAGAGUGCUUGCCUAGCAUGUAUGAGGCACUGGGUUCAAUCCUCAGCACCA